GCUUACGGCCAUACCAGCCUGAAAGCGCCCGAUCUCAUCAGAUCUCGGAAGCUAAGCAAGGUCGGGCCUGGUUAGUACUUGGAUGGGAGACUUCCUGGGAAUACCAGGUGCUGUAAGCA
rnacentral:rRNA from 1 species